UGUGUUCCAUCGGAACUCUGAAAUUGAUUGAGUUCGUGCGAGAGCAAUCCCAUGAUGGGUGACCCACUGGGAAGCUCUCGUGUGAGUUCCCUGAAACAAAAUGGUGAGGGCAUGGUCGGGGCCUAAAGCGAACAAUAUUGUGCUACGGUGGAGUCGAGUUCGGGAUGUGGUGGGAGCAUGGGCCGGGAUGUGACAUGUAAUGCUUAUUUCUUCUAGAAACUUAUGUUGCUCUUCGCCAUGGCGUAUUGCCCAAACUUCUUACAAAACGAAGUUGAAAUAGGCUUAUGAAAGACUUUUGAUUGACUCUUAUUGGCCAUUUGGUGCAGGUUGUUAUGGACAUUCUACACUUUGUAAAAAGUGUGUUCAUUUUGCACCGCAAAAAGGGAAGCAAGCAAAAUAAUAUGUACAAUGCUUUAUGGAACUCCACUCCAAAGAAAUUAUUUAUAUAUAUAAGAGGUACAAUUCCAGUCAUAAAAAUUAUUAUACCUUCGUAUCUUCUUUUUUUCCAUCAUUUUUUCUUUGGUCUGAAUAACCAAAACUAGAAUAUUGGUUGAAUGAUUUGAAACUUAUCAUUGACGCAACUACAACUCAUUAACAUUAUAUUCGGGCUUAUUAGGCAUAAGUAUUGUACCAUAUACAGUAGGGUGCGAUAUAAUACUAAUUUGUGCUAAAAUGUGUUUACCAAGAAACGUGUGCUCAUUUACUUAAUCUAUUGGACUUCAACAAUUCUUCACUUCUUAACAAAUUCAUCUCUUACUCCACAUUUUCAUUUUCAUAUAGUAGGAAUAAUGAUGACGAGAAAUACGUUUGUCCAUUUGUUGCAGAACAAUUAAGGCUAGUCGCGCUCUUUUUCCUGCUUGUCAUCUCAUUUUCACGCAACGAUAGCCACUAACACGACAUGAAAGUUCAGUUCACGGCUUUCGCAACUCUAUUGUAACAAAAUAGUUGGUGUAUAAUUUGAAACAAGUAAUUUUUAUGUGAAAUAAUAAAUAGCUAUUUGAUUGUUGAGAUUAAUUAAACAAUUUACGUUUGUCCAUUUGUUGCAGAACAAUUAAGGCUAGUCGCGCUCUUUUUCCUGCUUGUCAUCUCAUUUUCACGCAACGAUAGCCACUAACACGACAUGAAAGUUCAGUUCACGGUUUUCGCAACUCUAUUGUAACAAACUAGUCAGUGUAUUAAUUUGAAACAAGUAAUUUUUAUGUGAAAUAAUAAAUAGCUUUUUGAUUGUUGAGAUUAAUUAAACAAUUUAUGGGAACUUGUAAGUUGCGUUUAUGGUACCAAAAUAAAUAUCAAAUGAGAAACUCUCGUAUUUGAUACCUCACAUUAGUAAAUACGUUGCUAAAGUAGUUUUAAAGGAACAUGCGUUUUUCAUUUUACGAAUGACUCGCACCUUUGCCUCAUCCCUUAUAAGUGUACAACUCCUUGCGUCAAAGUUCAACUGCAUCUAAGGGAUCAUUUUCUAAGAAAAUCAAAAGUUACUCAUUCUUUCCACCAUUAUGGCCAGACUAAACAUGUUUCCAAUUAUGGUCAGUUUACUUUUGGCGAAUUGCGCACUUCCAACGUUGGCGCAUUUGGAUGAUUCGCCUGCCGUGGUUGAGUGCAAAAAGCAUUUCAGCAUAAAGUAUGCAUUCGACGUGUACAACUAUGUUUUCAAAGGGAAGGAAAUUGGUGACUUUAGUUGCCGGGCCCUUGUGGCGUUGGGAAAAUCGUGCCAUAAUGUUUUCGUGAACAGCACCUUUACAUAUGAGCACACCGGAAAUAGAACUGCCAUUCAAGCUAGAGCUGACCGAGUAUUUAAUCAUUGUAUAAUUGUAACGUUCGUCCCACCUCAUUCUUCGUUAUCUUAAGCAGAGAAUUGAACUUCUAUAGGGCUAAAAAAUUUGGGGGAUAUUUCCUACGUCAGAAUAAAAUUUCGAUGUAUUUGCUUUGAUGCCUUGUUACGACUUCACUUUAUCGCUUUGAGUUGUAAAGCAUUAUCUAAAUGAUAGUGGAAUGAACAAUAGUAAUAAAACAACUACCACGCCAACUUAAAAAACUUCGCGAAACAUUGUAAAUAAUAGAGAUUAGUUUUACAUUUGUUCGGCCUUUACCCAUGCAUUACGUUCGGUUAUUGUAGCUACACUGCAUAUUGAUGUGUAAUGUAACAUCCCACAUCGCCCAAGGGAGUGGAUCCUGUAAGCCUUAUAUGCAUAUUUCAAUCUCUACCUUGCACGAGACCUUUUGGGAGCUCACUGGCUUUGUGUUCCAUCGGAACUCUGAAAUUGAUUGAGUUCGUGCGAGAGCAAUCCCAUGAUGGGUGACCCACUGGGAAGCUCUCGUGUGACUUCCCUGAAACAAAAUGGUGAGGGCAUGGUCGGGGCCCAAAGCGAACAAUAUUGUGCUACGGUGGAGUCGAGUUCGGGAUGUGGUGGGAGCAUGGGCCGGGAUGUGACAUGUAAUGCUUAUUUCUUCUAGAAACUUAUGUUGCUCUUCGCCAUGGUGUAUUGCCCAAACUUCUUACAAAACGAAGUUGAAAUAGGCUUAUGAAAGAGUUUUGAUUGACUCUUAUUGGCCAUUUGGUGCAGGUUGUUAUGGACAUUCUACACUUUGUAAAAAGUGUGUUCAUUUUGCCCCGCAAAAAGGGAAGCAAGCAAAAUAAUAUGUACAAUGCUUUAUGGAACUCCACUCCAAAGAAAUUAUUUAUAUAUAUAAGAGGUACAAUUCCAGUCAUAAAAAUUAUUAUACCUUCGUAUCUUCUUUUUUUCCAUCAUUUUUUCUUUGGUCUGAAUAACCAAAACUAGAAUAUUGGUUGAAUGAUUUGAAACUUAUCAUUGACGCAACUACAACUCAUUAACAUUAUAUUCGGGCUUAUUAGGCAUAAGUAUUGUACCAUAUACAGUAGGGUGCGAUAUAAUACUAAUUUGUGCUAAAAUGUGUUUACCAAGAAACGUGUGCUCAUUUACUUAAUCUAUUGGACUUCAACAAUUCUUCACUUCUUAACAAAUUCAUCUCUUACUCCACAUUUUCAUUUUCAUAUAGUAGGAAUAAUGAUGACGAGAAAUACGUUUGUCCAUUUGUUGCAGAACAAUUAAGGCUAGUCGCGCUCUUUUUCCUGCUUGUCAUUUCAUUUUCACGCAAUGAUAGCCACUAACACGACAUGAAAGUUCAGUUCACGGUUUUCGCAACUCUAUUGUAACAAACUAGUUAGUGUAUUAAUUUGAAACAAGUAAUUUUUGUGUGAAAUCAUAAAUAGCUAUUUGAUUGUUGAGAUUAAUUAAACAAUUUAUGGGAACUUGUAAGUUGCGUUUAUGGUACCAAAAUAAAUAUCAAAUUAGAAACUCUCGUAUUUGAUACCUCACAUCAGUAAAUACGUUGCUAAAGUUGUUUUAAAGGAAAAUGCGUUUUUCAUUUUACGAAUGACUUGCACCUUUGCCUCGUCCCUUAUAAGUGUACAACUCCUUGCGUCAAAGUUCAACUGCAUCUAAGGGAUCAUUUUCUAAGAAAAUCAAAAGUUACUCAUUCUUUCCACCAUUAUGGCCAGACUAAACAUGUUUCCAAUUAUGGUCACUUUGCUUUUGGCGAAUUGCGCACUUCUAACAUUGGCGCAUUUGGAUGAUUCACCGGCCGUGGUUGAGUGCAAAAAGCAUUUCAGCAUAAAGUAUGCAUUCGACGUGUACAACUAUGUUUUCAAAGGGAAGAAAAUUGGUGACUUUAGUUGCCGGGCCCUUGUGGCUUUGGGAAGACCGUGCCAUAAUGUUUUCGUGAACAGCACUUUUACUUACGAGCACAACGGAAGUAGAACAGCCAUUCAAGCUAGAGCUGACCGAGUAUUUAAUCAUUGUAUAAUUGUAACAUCCGUCCCACCUCAUUCUUCGCUAUCUGAAGCAGCGAAUUGAACUUCUAUAGGGCUAAGAAAUUUGUGGGAUAUUUCCUACAUCAGAAUAAAAUUUCGAUGUAUUUGCUUUGAUGCCUUGUUACAACUUCACUUUAUUGCUUUGAGUUGUAAACCAUUAUCUAAAUGAUAGAGGAAUGAACAAUAGUAAUAAAACAACUACCAAGCCAACUUAAAAAACUUUGCGAAACAUUGUAAGUAAUAGAGAUUAGUUUUACAUUUGUUCGGCCUUUACCCGUGCAUUACGUUCGGUUACUGCAGCUACACUGCAUAUUGAUGUGUAAUGUAACAUCCCACAUCGCCCAAGGGAGUGGUUCCUGUAAGUCGUAUAUGCAUAUUCCCAUCGCUACCUAGCACGAGGCCGGGUUCCAUCAGAACUCCGAAGUUAAGUGAGUUCGUGCGAGAGCAAUCUUAUGAUGGGUGACCCACUGGAAAGUUCUCGUGUGAGUUCCCAGAAACAAAACUGUGAGGGCGUGGUCGGGGCCGAAAGCAUACAAUAUCGUGCUACGGUCGGGUCGAGUUCGGGAUGUGGUGGGAACCUGGGUCGAGAUGUGACAUGUAAUGCUUAUUUUUCUAGAAACUUAUGUUCCUCUUUGCCAUGGCGUAUUGCCCAAACUUCUUACAAAAUGACGUUGAAAUAGGCUUAUGAAAGACUUUUGAUUGACUCUUAUUGGCCCUUUGGUGUAGGUUGUUAUGGACAUUCUACACUUUGUAAAAAGUGUGUUCAUUUUGCACCGCAAAAAGGGAAGCAAGCAAAAUAAUAUGUACAAUGCUUUAUGGAACUCCACUCCAAAGAAAUUAUUUAUAUAUAUAAGUGGUACAAUUCCUGUCAUAAAAAUUAUUAUACCUCCGUAUCUUCUUUUUUUUUCCAUUGGCGCAUUGCGCACUUCUAACAUUGGCGCAUUUGGAUGAUUCACCGGCCGUGGUUGAGUGCAAAAAGCAUUUCAGCAUAAAGUAUGCAUUCAACGUGUACAACUAUGUUUUCAAAGGGAAAAAAAUUGGUGACUUUAGUUGCCGGGCCCUUGUGGCUUUAGGAAAACCGUGCCAUAAUGUUUUCGUUAACAACACUUUUACUUAUGAGCACACCGGAAACAGAACAGCCAUUCAAGUUAGAGCUGACCGAGUAUUUAAUCAUUGUAUAAUUGUAACAUCCGUCCCACCUCAUUCUUCGCUAUCUGAAGCAGCGAAUUGAACUUCUAUAGGGCUAAGAAAUUUGUGGGGUAUUUCCUACGUCAAAAUAAAAUUUCGAUGUAUUUGCUUUGAUGCCUUGUUACAACCUCACUUUAUCGCUUUGAGUUGUAAACCCUUAUCUAAAUGAUAGAGGAAUGAACAAUAGUAAUAAAACAACUACCACGUCAACUUAAAAAACUUCGCGAAACAUUGUAAGUAAUAGAGAUUAGUUUUACAUUUGUUCGGCCUUUACCCGUGCAUUACGUUCGGUUACUGCAGCUACACUGCAUAUUGAUGUGUAAUGUGACAUCCCACAUCGCCCAAGGGAGUGGAUCCUGUAAGUCGUAUAUGCAUAUUCCCAUCGUUACCUAGCACGAGGCCUUUUGGGAGCUCACUGG
rnacentral:lncRNA from 1 species